rnacentral:rRNA from 1 species
CGGACGAACGCUGGCGGCGUGCCUAACACAUGCAAGUCGAACGAAGCAUUAAGUGAAUCCCUUCGGGGUGAAGCUUUUAUGACUUAGUGGCGGACGGGUGAGUAACGCGUGAGUAACCUGCCUUUCAGAGGGGGAUAACAGUUGGAAACGACUGCUAAUACCGCAUAAUGUAUUUGGGGGCAUCCCUGAAUAACCAAAGCUUUAUGUGCUGAAAGAUGGUCUCGCGUCUGAUUAGCUAGAUGGCGGGGUAACGGCCCACCAUGGCGACGAUCAGUAGCCGGUCUGAGAGGAUGAACGGCCACAUUGGGACUGAGAUACGGCCCAGACUCCUACGGGAGGCAGCAGUGGGGAAUAUUGGGCAAUGGGCGCAAGCCUGACCCAGCAAUGCCGCGUGAAGGAAGAAGGCUUUCGGGUUGUAAACUUCUUUUGUCAGGGACGAGUAGAAGACGGUACCUGACGAAUAAGCCACGGCUAACUACGUG